GGCUACUGCACUUUAUUUUAAGCGGCUACUGUUGGUGGUGAUGACGGCUGCUGCUGGUGGUGACGGUGGCUGCUGCUGGUGGUCAUGAUAGCUACUGUUGGUGGUGACUGCGGCUGACGAUGGUGGCGGUGGCUGCUGAGCCAUCUGGUGCCCAGUGAAGGAAAAGAAGGAAAGAAGAAGACGUGAAGAAGAAACAGCCUGACCCCUGUCCAGCCUUGAUGAUGCCUCUGUGACAAAAAGGACGACAAAUCCCCACCACUGUCCCAGCGCUAGAAAAGUAAUUAUUGCUGCAGCCAGCCGACCAGGACCUUAUCUACCAGAAGCACGCCGAGACAAAGGAAGCAUAUAGGUUCUUCUACAACCGCAGAUAUUCAGCUUGUCCACUCCCUGAGCUGCACCCAGGUCAGGAUAUCAGGGUGAAGCUCGAUGGGGAAACAGGUUGGAAGACACCUGCUAGAGUCAUCGGCAAAUCUAACAAGCCAAGAUCAUAUGUGGUGGAAAUGGACAAUGACACAGUGACUCGUCGCAACAGGCACCACCUUCAGGCUGCCCCUGAGACGGCUGAUCCAGUGGAGAAACAGCAGCAUGCCGCUCCCGUCCCACAACAGCAGGACUGCAGUUCCCCGACUACAAUGGUGGCUGUUCCACAAGAGCCAUCACAGAGCUUGCCAUUGUCAGGUCCCACCCUCAGGUCUCCUGCCUGGUCUACUGCUCCCUGGAGAUAGACUUCCAGAGGUCGUGAGGGUAAUCUGCCUCUUAGAUUUAGAGACUGAUAGAGACAGUGACUUUAAGUUCUCUUUAUUAGUUCUGCGUUAGUGUUGUUGUUACAGGAACCACAGACAGGAAGAAAACUUCAUCCUUCUCUCUCAUAAGGGCAGAAUAAUCCCUUCUCAGGACUGAGGGUAGUCUGCCCCGAUGAUGUCCGGUGUUCAGUUGUGGAGAGAGCAUGAGAGAGACUGGGAGAGAGUUACUAUGGAAAAGAAAACUAUUAAAGUUCAUGAAUGUGUGGCAAGUGGAGGGUAGAAAAGGUUGUCACCAACAAUGCCACCUGGGGAGUUUUGCCCCAGGAGAUAGUUAAUUGUUUAGAAGAAAUAAUUAAGUACCUUUACUAUUAUUACAGGUCACAUGGUCUGAAAUACCACGGGCAAGAGACAUUCUUAGAAAAAUAUAGACACAAUUUUAUUUAACAGUUAAUAAAUAAAACACAUCAGACAUCAUUGUCAUCAUCAUCAUCAGUGGCUGGCUCACAUGCUGCUAGACUGGGGCCAAAAUGAAGGGGUGAACAGGGCUGAGGUUGCCUCGGCGCCCAAACUCAAAUCAAGGGAAGGAUAAUUAACAAAAGCACCCGUGACACCGCACGCACAUUCGUGAAGAAAAAGGCCCACCAUCAGGGAUUGGGUCGCCGUCAGGGGCUCACAGCACCUGUCCACAAAGAAAAAGAGAAGAUAUAAACAGGCCUCACAGGUCUAGCACAGCCACUUUAAAACACACGGGCACACACACACACACACACACACACAAAACCCAACAAAGCAAUAUACAUUAACUGAAUAGUAAGGAAAUAAACACACAAAAAACAGAAAAUGGUUAUUAAACCAAGUUAACCAAAUUAAUACAAAGUCCCAUUCACAAUACAAGAUACACAAAUACUCUUAAUUGAUUAUAUUAUUUAAUUAAUGAAUGAAGUUCCCAGGAGCAGCAUAAGGAAAGGGCACACCAGGUGAAACCACCUGCUAUAUGGACGUGCCACCACCCAUCAAUCAGUGCACCAGAGAGACACAGCACCCCACUGUGAGAAGGAGUGAGGGUGCUCAGGCUACAUGUUACUGUUAAUUUACAAUAUUUAUAGUUGAAUUGUUACAAAUGUCGUCUGCCUUGUAGGUAAUAGGUUGAGAAGUAUGAAGGAAAAGUGUUUUCAGUUCAGUGGCAAGCAGUAAUCUCACUGACGCUUUAUAAUGUUUGUUUCUUCUAAAAAGGGGGAGAUGUUGUGAGAUAACUUUUUGUUCCUAUGAGGCUACCGUAGCCAGGGGAGUGCUGUGCGUAAUGACAUUAUCGGCGGAGUCAGGAAGUUUAUGUGAAUGAUUCUAGCCAUGUGGUGUAUGCUAGUGAAAUAAACGGAGUCACUAGAAAACUGUGUCUUGCCUAAUAUCAUGACAGGUAGUGUACUACUUUUUCAUGACAUCGCAAAUAAAACACGUUUUUCUUAAAACAAGAUUGAUAUCA